AAAAAAAAACGAUGCAACAGUAGCUUUGAUAGCUCACACAAUGGCUUAAACCUAAAUUUCUUAGAAAUGCUUGCUGUCAUAAUUGCAGUAUGAUCACUUCCAAUUAUGCUAUAGUCAUUGAUACCUAUUAUCAUUAUUACUAGUUGGCCAAAUUCAAUAAAGGAAGAUAUACAAAAUUUAGUAGUACCUGAACUUAGGGGGAUUCUCUUUUCCUUGUUAGUCAAUCAGAGAAACAGCAAAUAAUUUGCUCCGACAAAAUUUAGUAGUACCUGAACUUAAGGGGAUUCUCUUUUCCUUGUUAGUCAAU
rnacentral:lncRNA from 1 species